GUCUUGUCCCCAGAAUCUACAUCCAAUGGAUGAACGAGAUUCGAUUUUAAUUGGAAAAGAGGGCUUGGGGUCUCCGGGUGUAGGCAAAGACAGGCCGUGCCUGGAGAGAGUUGUGCACCGAAGGCGCACCAUGCUGCUGGCCCAGGAUGGGCCAUGCCAACCUUGCCCGUGGCUCUGGGGUCGUUUGGUGCAAAGCGCGGUGGCCAGGGAUCUGUGAGGUCACUUGCGAAUUUCCAGCUCCACCGCCAUGGCCAGCCACUUCCGAUUCUUCUCAACGCGAUCCUCUUCCUGGCUCCCCCUUCCCAGGCACUCUCUGCGCUUCCAACAACUCCUCCCCCGUUCGAUCGGUGCCUGCCACCCUCCCGCGUUUAUAUCCUCUUCUCGUCUGGUAAUAUCACUCGAAUCUUCUCGGGUUCUUCCGCCUCGGUCUCAUCCACUUGUGAAUUUGAAGAUAUUUUUUCUGUCCUCCGGCCUUCAGAGAUAGCUUCAUGCAGGUCAUCGCUCUGUUUGUCGAUGCCAUGGCUGGUGUUUUGUUCGCCAUUUGAAGCCUCUCCCUGGUUUCUGAUAAUUCCUUGGCUCAUAGAUGGUUCAUGGAUGGUUCAUGGAUGUCUCGUAGUUGAAGCCCUAGGCUCGAGUUGAACCCUCGAACCUUUGUUUCUUGUGCUCUUGCGAAGCGCUCCCGGUGGCGAUUUGGAAGUGUUAGCAGGAUGCUUGCUGCUGCGCAGCGGCUGUCUUGUUUGAAUGGAAAAGUAUUCUGCUUCGAGGCUCCUGACGGCGAGCAGACGUGAAGUAAACAUUCUCUCGACAACCUUCUUCAAAGUCACAAACAUAGACAGAACGUGAAAGAGUUUACUCCUUCCUAAGAAGGAGCACGGAUGCGAGGACCAUCUUUUUGGUGCUCGCUUUGUUGCUUGUGUCUCUGCUUCUUAUGUUGCAAGCCGCGCCGGCGCAAGCGGACGGUGACUUCCUCUGGUUUAUAUUGAUUACAUUUCUUCAGGACAAAUCUGAAACACUUGUGCUGUGAUGAUAGCUUGAAAGAAACGGCCUUAAUCGAGGGAUAUAUUGCAAGUGAUAGUGAUGAUUCUUCUCCUAGCGUCUUUCUGUGUUAACCUACUCUCCACAGUGACACGUCCAUGGCGCCGGCUGUUCUGGUUGGCUUUGCAUUUGUACAUUUCUGUGUGGAGCGUUGUGCUAAAUCGAGUAUCAGAAGCAUUUUCAAGGUCUGUAGAGAUAGUGACAGCAUAUCGCCGCGAAAAAGAGCUGGUGGUACAGCUCUAUUCUAUGAGGCGCGAAUACGAAGUCGUGAAACUACGGAACAGUGAGCUUCAGACGAAAUUAGAUGCUUUCACAAGAGAUCGUCGGAGGAUCAUGGAAACACUUGACCUUGUGACGGCUGAAAAAAAGAAGGCAGUGGAGACCGUGAAGUUCUUGAAAAACAAGGUUCAGGAUUUGGAAACUUCGAAUCAACAGUUAACCGAGAUUGAAGAGAUGCUGCGGAGGGGUCUGGAAGAGACUCUAUCAAAAUUAAAAGUAGCCUCCAAUCGAAAUUCAGAAGUUUUCUUCAACGGUUUGGGUGCAGAUUUUCAAUCGAUUCAAGCUAAAGAUAUUGCUAGCAAGACUCUUCUUGACAAGGACACUUACAAAGAGAAAGAGUCUUAUUGUGACCUGCAGCCUCUGAGGACUCGACCACCUAACUCUACGCAGAUUGGUCAAGCAGAUCUCGAGAUACCCCAUGUUAUUGAAUCUGAGUAUGGUGCGGCCUUUACGUCCACCAUGUUCAGUGCGUUGUUGUCAACUUUGGUGGCGAUGGUUGCAGGGGAGGCUAAGGUUGGCACCCUUCUGCUCCUCACUGUGUUUACCUGAUGUUGCUCAAGUAAAGUUAUUUGAGGUGUCCUUGAUUUUGUUCUGCUCAGCGUGUAGCCACCGGGUUGGUUGUACCGGAAAAUCAACUUGCGAAUUGAUUUCAAAGGAUCCAUGCCAACCUCUAGUGAUUGCCCUGUUCUCUGUGGUGGGUAUGUCACUAAUCAGCGUAGUUCGCUUUUUCACUAAACUCCAAAGUCAGCGAGGUUUCUUAGCUGUGGCCCUUCUGAGCCUCAACUGGUUUGUGGUAGGGACCUUGGCUCAUCCUGCCAUGCCACACGUAGGUCAUAUGGGUUUUAAUUUUUUUUUGGCUAUUGGUGGUCGGUUGCUAAAGUUAACGGGAUUUGAAAACAUCACAAGAGUUGUCAAGUCUGCCGAUCAUACAGCAGUAAUUGAGUUGUGAAAAGGUAGAAAUUGCCCAAACUGUAGAUCUGAGUUCCAUGUUUAAUUGAUUGUAGUUAGUAUAUGGCACUCAGGUUUAUUUCUGUAAAUGAUGUCUCGACAGAUGAGUGUAGUUGUUAGUGUAUAGUUUACAAGGAUUCGCAAGGAAUUGAAGUGCGUAGAACGAAAGUUUAAGAUAGAACUGAGUAAAGAUACUUUUAUAGAGGUUUAGACACAAAUGUUACUUACCUCGCUUUUAGUUCCGUUGUAUUUUUACAGUCCUACUAUAGCAUGCAUGAUUUUGUUUUUACUAUUUUUACUAUGGCA